rnacentral:lncRNA from 8 species
ACAUAUAAACAUCUGAUACGCUGGCAGAGCGGCUGAAUCAGUGUGAGGGAAUGGCACAACUCAGUGACACAGCUGACGACAGGCCUGGACAGGACCCUGGCUGGCUACAGCAGCUGCGAUGCAGACAGCAGGACAUACGGGUGACCACACCACAAUGCAUCGUCAUUGUACCCGUCAUGUCUCUCUGUCACAUGUUUUCAUGUUCCUCUGUUUCUGUUGGAUAUGAUGAUUACAGUAUAAAACAUAUUUAUUGAGUACAAACAACCUUGUGUAGAGUAGGGAUUUGUUGUUGUUGAUUGAGUAAGGGUCAUAAAUGGGACUCACUAAAGCCUGGAUAUUAGGAUAGAUAUGGAUAUUAGCCUACAGUAUAACCCACUGGUACUGGUAGGUUAUCAGGUGAGUGAAAUUAUGUCAGUAGGCACUUAUGUCAAGGUUACUGAGGUGGUAAGUAUUUACUAUAGUCCAGAUGGCAAGACUAGUGUCUGGUUUAAACGUGUCUCUACCUGCACAAUGUUUGACCUUACAUAGACACUGAUAGCAUUGUAAUUACUACAUUAUGAUCCCUUUUUACCAAUCAAAUGAUAAAUGAAUAACAAUACCAUACUCGUUUUUCUCUCCUCCAAAACAUUCACUCCACAUUAAGAUGCUGUGGUUAAAACACAUGUAUUUGCUUAGAUGGGGAGCUGUGGUUGUAGUGAUACAUACCUGGGACCUACAGUCCCAGAUCAUUAUUUCAAUGAAUAUUUAGUUUAUUGGAUUUAUAUAGCACUUUUUCAGAUGCUCAAAGCAUUUACAUAGUAAGGGGGAACUUACCUCAUCCACCACCAAUGUGAAACACACCCCCAGUUUCUGCUUUGGUUUCCGUUUAGAAUCAGACACCGGUGACCUUUCUGUGAGGGGUGAUGCAUGUGCAGGCACAGCAGAUCAACGUCCCACCUCUGCUGCCAGUCAUGGCUUCUUACAAUCAGCCUGCAGUGCCCCUUGUGGCGGGAGGUCAGGACUACAGUUACCACAACACAGACACUGCCCAUGCUCAGGAUUGUCCUUCAGCCACGGAAGAGGCUGAUCAUUCUUCUGUCCCAGGCAUGGAUAUGGUCAUGGUUAUGGAGGGCAGCAGGCAUGCCAGCAGUGAGGGCACCAGGCCACCAUCACAGAGGGGGGAAAGGCCACAGAGACAGACAAAAUCCAACUAAAACAGGUGGGUAGAGCCUGAAUCCUGUCUUCAUGUCACAGCAUCAAAUAGGAACCAGGGGUUUGUUUUAAUGAGCCCCUCUCUAUCUAUCUCUCUAUCUAUCUCUCUCUCUAUCUGUCUCUGUCUGUCCUUCUGUGUGUGUGUCUCUGAUCAGAGCAACAAGUCAGGGUGGUUUAGCAGCUGGUUCAAACCCGAGCCCAAAGAGCAGCAAAGUGAGACGUCUCACUAUGCGGACUCAGCUGACCCUGUUCCCACUACGUUAAGGGUCAAGCAUACCUACUUUUAACUCUUACCCAGCCAUUAGACAGAGGACAUAACAGCAUGCGCUGCAGCCUGGAUGUCAAGUCAGUGAUCUCAAGUUUAGGUUUUGUAGUGUACCGUCCAACAAAUCAUGUCGAUGGAUAUAACAACAUUUUGUUAUAUCUUAUAAACUUAGUGAAAUAUAAAAACGUUAAUGAAAAGGAUUCUUAAAAUGAAGCGCUAAGGCAACCAUUUUUGGAUAUUAUUAUUAUUAGGAUAUUCAGAGUGUUUGACCUCCUUGUACUUCUCACAAGACCCAGCGGAGGUAUUUGCUGUUGGUCAACCAACUCUUCCCAAUUAUUUGGCAGCGUUAGUAACACCUUCUGCAUUUAAAUACUGCUUCCACUGAGUGAAUUGUAUCAUGCAAGUUAGAUUAAAACUGUGAUUUAUAAGUUACUCUAAAUAAGCUAAGUUAAGUCAGAAGUAAUUAAAAUGAUUUUAUUGUUUUUCUAUAUUCAAUGAUACCAGUAUUUCAAUAUGUUUGAGACUGACUAGCUGAUGAAUUGUUGUACGUUUAACAUACUUUUUAUCAAAAGUAUAGCCUACCAAUUUCUGUCAAAGUAAAGCUUUUCAGAAAAACCCUAAAUACAUGAUUACAUAAUCAGAGACAGGAGUAGCUUUCCUUGUGUCAUAGAAGGUAGACUCUCAAAACUCACCACGAGGAAGCUAUGAACAAUCCUAAUCAUAUCAGUCUAUGUAUGUAUGCCCCUUUAACUGGAGGUUCUGAGACAUAAGCAAACGUAACACAUCCUAGUGUCAUAAAAACAAAUCUGUGUCGUCUGGUUGACUUUCCGAGUGAUACCUUCUUAGUAUGCUCAGUGCCCCUCGGUAUGUAUUCGUCGGUUACCUCGUUGUGCAGUAGUGGGUCACUGGGUCUUGUGCAAUUAUGUAACGCUAGGGUUGCAAAGAGAGUGAAUUUUACUGGUAACUGUCUAACUUUACCAGUAAACUUUUGGAAUUUUGGAAACUCUUUAAUGUAAUUUAUAAAAUGUCAAAUAUAUAAAAUCACAAAUGAAGACUAUUUAAUAUAAAAAAAUUGAAUAACAAAGAUGUAAAACAAUCUCCUAAAUACAGCCCUUCAACUUAGUGAAUAACGUUGCCGUUAAAUAUGGUUUUCAGCAUGAAAUAUAUUUUAUAUUUUUUUACACGCUUUUAUUUAUUUUGAUCUGUCAAUAUGCGUUUGUUGUAAAUGUUUUGGCAACAAACUGGAGAAGUUGUGAAAAAAAGUACAUAGUUGGAAGAGUUGCAGUUAAUUGAAAAUAUUCUUUUCAUAAAUUACGCGAUUUUGUCUUGAAUCGUAGUAUAUCUACUAGAAACUUGUGGACAAUAUGGACAUAGAUAUAACGAUUAAGAAACAUUAAUGAAUAUUUUAUAUGAAUACAUUUUUUAAAACGUUAUUUAAGUAUAAAGUACUAAAGUUACCAUAGAUGACCUGUUAAUUACCAAAAAUGUCAGUGAAUUUGUGAAAUUACCCAUAGUUUUCGCCUAAAAUGACAUACCCAACUGCCUGUAGCUCAGGACAGGAAGCAAGGAUAUGAAUAUUAUUGAUACCAUUUGAACAGAAACACUUUGAAGUUUGUGGAAUGUGAAAUUAAUGUAGGAGAAUAUAACACAUUAGAUCUGGUAAAAGAUAAUUUAAAAAAAAACAAUAAAUGUAAAAAAAUAAAAUUGUUUGUAAUAUCAUCUUUGAAAUGCAAGAGAAAGGCCAUAAUGUAUUAUUCCAGCCCAGGUGAAAUUUAGAUUUUGGCCACCAGAUGGAGCAGUGUCUGUGCAAAGUUUUAGACUGAUACAAUGAACCAUUGCAUUUCUGUUAAAAAUGUUACAUCAAGACUGCCCAAAUGUGCCUAAUUGGUUAAUUAAUAAAGUUCAUAACUGUGCACUCUCCUCAAACAAUAGCCUGGUAUUCUUUCACUGUAAUAUCUACUGUAAAUUGGACAGUGCAGUUAGAUUAACAAGAAUUUAAGCUUUCUGCCAAUAACAGAUAUGUCUAUGUCCUGGGAAAAUGUCUUGUUACUUACAACCUCAUGCUAAUCGCAUUAGUCUACAUUAGCUCCACCGUCCCGUGGGUGGGACACUGCUCUGUAGAGAUCAUUAAGAGGUUAACCUGUUAGGGCUAGGGGGCAGUAUUGACACGGCCGGAUAAAAAACGUACCCGAUUUAAUCUGGUUACUACUCCUGCCCAGUAACUAGAAUAUGCAUAUAAUUAUUGGCUUUGGAUAGAAAACACCCUAAAGUUUCUAAAACUGUUUGAAUGGUGUCUGUGAGUAUAACAGAACUCAAAUGGCAGGCCAAAACCUGAGAAGAUUCCAUGCAGGAAGUGGCCUGUCUGACAAGUUGUGUUUCAUCUUGGCUCUUUUUAUUGAAGACUGAGGAUCUUUGCUCUAACAUGACACUUCCUACGGCUCCCAUAGGCUCUCAGAGCCCGGGAAAAAGCUGAACGAUA